CCGGCGCGCCCCUGGCCCGGGAGCCCGGAGAAUGCGAGCUGCGCUCCCCGCCGGCCGCCGCCUCCCCCCGCGCCGUGCGUCCGACGACCCCCGGAGCUGCUCGCGUCGCCGCCGCCCCCCAGCUGCGGGCGCCCGGCCGCUGGCUGCGCUAGGACCCGCCGCCGCCGGUCGCCGAGGGCCGGUAGGAAGGGAGGAGCGGGAGCGAAAGGGCCCCGGAGACUGGCGCCCGCCGGGGCGCAGCGCGACAUGUAGCUGCGGGCUCCCGCGCGAGGGUGUCGGCCCGGCCCCGCCAUGGCUGGGACGGACAGCGGGAACCUGAAGACGGUGAGGCUGUGGCGGGACGCCGCCCUGCGCGCCAGGAAGCUGCGGAGCAACCUGCGCCAGCUCACCCUCAGCGCGGCCGGGGGCUGCCCGGGGACCGACCAGCUCGACUCUCCCGACGCGCCCCAGCUCGUGCUGCCGGCCAACAUCGGGGACAUUGAGGUGCUGAACCUGGGGAACAACGGCCUGGAGGAGGUGCCCGACGGGCUGGGCUCGGCGCUGGGCAGCCUCCGCGUCCUGGUCCUGCGCCGGAACCGCUUCGCCCGGCUGCCCCCGGCGGUGGCCGAGCUGGGCCACCACCUCACCGAGCUGGACGUGAGCCACAACCGGCUGAGCGUCCUAAGCGCCGAGGUGGUGAGUGCCCUGCGCGAGCUGAGGAAGCUCAACCUCAGCCACAACCAGCUGCCCGCCCUGCCCGCCCAGCUGGGCGCGCUGAUCCACCUGGAGGAGCUGGACGUCAGCUUUAACCGCCUGGCGCACCUGCCCGACUCCCUCUCCUGCCUCUCCCGCCUGCGCGCCGUCGACGUGGACCACAACCAGCUCACGGCUUUUCCGUGGCAGCUGCUGCAGCUGGCGGCCCUGGAGGAGCUCGACGUGUCCAGCAACCGGCUGCGGGGCCUCCCUGAGGAUAUCAGUGCCCUGCGGGCCCUCAAGAUCCUCUGGCUGAGCGGGACCGAGCUUGGCACCCUGCCCAGCGGCUUCUGCGAGCUGGCCAGCCUGGAGAGCCUCAUGCUGGACAACAACGGGCUGCAGGCUCUGCCCGCCCAGUUCAGCCGCCUGCAGCGACUCAAAAUGCUCAACCUCUCUUCCAACCUCUUGCAGGAGUUCCCCGCCGCGCUGCUGCCCCUGGCUGGUCUGGAGGAGCUCUACCUUAGUCGCAACCAGCUCACUUCAGUGCCAUCCCUGAUCUCGGGCCUGGGCCGUCUUCUCACCCUGUGGCUGGAUAACAACCGGCUCCGCUACCUGCCUGACUCCAUCGUGGAGCUCACUGGCCUGGAGGAGCUGGUCCUGCAGGGGAACCAGAUCGCUGUGCUGCCAGACAACUUUGGCCAGCUCUCCCGGGUGGGCCUGUGGAAGAUCAAGGACAACCCGCUGAUCCAGCCCCCCUACGAGGUCUGUAUGAAGGGGAUCCCCUACAUCGCAGCUUACCAGAAGGAGCUGGCUCAUUCCCAGCCGGCGGUCCAGCCCCGCCUCAAGCUGCUCCUGAUGGGCUAUAAAGCUGCAGGAAAGACCCUGCUCCGUCACUGCCUCACCGAGGACAGAGUGGAGGGGAACCAAGGAGGAGAGGACAAGAAGAGCCACCCGCCUUCACCUCCUCCCGUGAGCAAGGGCAUCGAGGUGACCAGCUGGACAGCGGAUGCCUCCCGGGGCCUGCGGUUCAUCGUGUAUGACUUAGCCGGGGAUGACAGUUAUGAGGUGAUCCAGCCCUUCUUCCUCUCCCCGGGGGCCCUUUAUGUGCUGGUGGUGAACUUGGCCACCUAUGAGCCGCUCCGCUUUCCCACCACCGUGGGCUCCUUCUUGCAUCGGGUAGGGGCCCGGGUGCCUCAUGCCGUGGUGUGCAUUGUGGGCACGCACGCCGACCUGUGCGGGGAGCAGGAGCUGGAGGAGAAGUGUCUGGACAUCCACCGCCAGAUCGCCCUGCAGGAGAAGCAUGACGCCGAGGGCCUGAGCCGUCUGGCCCAGGUGGUGGAUGAGGCGCUGGCCCGGGACUUUGAGCUCCGCUCCGCCAGCCCCCAUGCAGCCUACUACGGUGUGUCCGACAAGAACCUUCGGCGGCGCAAGGCCCACUUUCAGUACCUGCUCAACCACCGGCUGCAGAUCCUCUCCCCUGUGCUGCCCGUGAGCUGCAGGGACCCACGCCAGCUACAGCGCCUGCGGGACAAACUGCUCUCAGUGGCCGAGCACCGGGAAAUCUUCCCCAACCUCCACAGAGUACUGCCUCGGUCCUGGCAGGUGCUGGAGGAGCUGCACUUCCAGCCCCCUCAGGCGCAGCGGCUCUGGCUCAGCUGGUGGGACUCGGCUCGCCUGGGCCUGCAGGCCGGCCUGACCGAGGACCGGCUGCAGAGCGCCCUCUCCUACCUGCACGAGAGCGGCAAGCUGCUGUACUUUGAGGACAGCCCGGCCCUCAAGGAGCACGUCUUCCACAACCUCUCCCGCCUCAUCGACAUCCUCAACGUAUUCUUCCAGAGGGAUCCUUCCUUGCUGCUGCAUAAGCUGCUCCUGGGGACCAGCGGCGAGGGCGAGGCUGAGAACCGGGGUGAAAGCUCCCCGCUGAUGGCGCCGCCCGCCCCAAGCCAGGAUGCUCUCCGGGCCACCCAGCUCCAUCAUUACGUGGAGGGCUUUCUGCUGCAUGGGCUCCUGCCGGCCCACGUCAUCCGGCUGCUGCUGAAGCCUCACAUCCAGGCUCAGCAGGACCUGCAGCUCCUGCUGGAGCUGCUGGAGAAGAUGGGACUCUGUUACUGCCUCAACAAAGCCAAGGGCAAGCCUCUGAAUGGGUCCACGGCCUGGUACAAGUUCCCGUGCUAUGUGCAGAACGAGGUGCCCCACGCGGAGGCCUGGAUUAACGGGACCAACCUGGCCGGGCAGUCCUUUGUUGCUGAGCAGUUGCAGAUUGAAUAUAGCUUUCCCUUCACCUUUCCACCCAGCUUGUUUGCACGCUACAGCGUCCAGAUCAACAGCCAUGUGGUGCACAGGUCGGAUGGCAAACUUCAGAUCUUUGCAUACAGAGGGAAAGUCCCUGUGGUGGUGAGUUACAGACCUGCCAAGGGGGUCCUGCAGCCGGACACGCUGUCCAUUGCCAGCCACGCAUCCUUACCGAACAUAUGGACGGCGUGGCAGGCCAUAACCCCCUUAGUAGAGGAACUGAAUGUCCUACUUCAGGAAUGGCCUGGACUGCACUACACCGUGCACAUUCUCUGUUCUAAGUGCCUUAAGAGAGGGUCACCCAAUCCACACGCUUUCCCAGGAGAGAUGUGUUCUGGAGUAAAGAAGCAGUCCCCACUUUGGGGGGACGGGUAUCAGAGGGUGGCAGCAAAAGGGGAGUUGCUGAGUCAGCCCAGACCAGAAGGCGUGGCAGAGAUCAUAUGCCCCAAGAAUGGCAGCGAGCGAGUGAAUGUUGCCUUGGUUUACCCACCCACACCGACUGUGAUCAGCCCAUGUUCCAAGUAUCUCCAUACUUUCUUGGACAAUUAAGUGGAAAAGAUAGUGCUUCUUUCCCUUAUGCCAUCAUUUUUACUGUACCCAAUCUGUGACUUUAGGAGCACCAAUGUUUAAGGGAAGAACGUUGGUGAAAAGCACAGAAACCAGUGACUUUUAUGGCUGUGGAAUUUCCAUGGAGAAAAGAGCAUCAGAACGCACCUGGACCAUCUUUUGUACCCGGCAAACCCUCCACACUCCCUGGCGUGUUCUGUGAAUUUGAGUGCAUGUGUGUUCAGGGUGCUUUCAGGGAGGAAGCACACCUAGCCUGUAGACGAGGUGGGGAGGGGCGGGGCAGGGGCGGGGAAGGAUGGGAGAGAAUGUGGAGCAAAUGUUUUACAACCUGAACCUCAGAACUGUGAUCCUCCAAGGAGAGCGCUACUUGAAGAAAAAAAAAAAAAAAAAAGGCGAAUGGCUUCUCAGGGAUUUUUGUUUUCCGUGCACAUAUAAGCCAUAAUUCCAGUACAGGUGGCAGUAUUUAGAGCACUCAGAUUUCAGUUCUGUUAAAUGUGAAAGAGGGAUCGACUGACCAUUCAUUGCUGUUCCGUAACUAGUGUAAAAUAUGUAUAUGUUUAUCUUUAUUUUUAUAAUAUGCAAAUACAUUUAAAUUUAUACAGUUUGAAGCUUCUAGAGUUAGUUAACACUGGGUGCAAUAUUCUGAUGAGAACUGUGCCAAGAUGGGGCUGAUUUCUUGUUUUAGCAUAGGACCUUUUGUUUAUUCUUUAAUUCUUUGCAGAUUAAAAAAAAGAUACCUAUCUCUCUGCCCAUGGAUUAAGGGUUGGUUCAUAGAGUUUGCCGAUAAUCAGCAAGAACUUUAAACAUGCAUUUCAGAUCAGGCAGUGGCUGUACUUUUAAAUAAAGGUCCCUGCCUGUAAACUGUUGGGCAGCGUAGGAGGAUUUUUCCUUUUCUUUGCCCCCACACAUCACUAGUGUUGGGCAGAGUCUUCCUUGCUCCAGGCUUUGUGAUGACGGUGAGUUGUUACUGGGUGAUAGUCUGAUGGAGGCCUGGGGAUUAAGAUUCUUCAGGGGAUGGGGAUUAAGGGAUCCACAAAUCCAAGGAAAAGCAGAGUCUUGCAAUAGCUUCAGAUAAUCAGGAGUCAGUUCUGAAGCAUGUAAAGAGCUCUGCUAAUAAGUCCUUUCUUUUCUGCCCCCAGAACAGAGUCUGUGAAAUUUAGCAGAGCACUCUGAAAGCCCUCCACACCUGGUGUCAGACCGUAAGAUAGUGAGUUGCCUAACUGGAGAGCAUAAGCCCACAUUGGUUAUUUUAUAAAUACAGAGCCUCUGAUUGGAUGAUCUACUGCCAAGAACUAGUAAAACCCUGGUUUUAAAAUCUCCGCGAGGUAAAACUUAAAAAGCCAACCAACCAAACUGCUCUCUCUUCUCCUCCUCAUCGGGGCCAAGCAGCAUCUGCUGCAAUAGUAACACAUUCUUUGAAGAGUGUGCCUGACUCUGUUUACAUCUGCCUCCUCUGCGUGUUGAUUGAAAAUGUGUAAAACUGUUUCUCACCCGUGUAAGGCAAGAAAAGUGAGUCAGCUGGUAUUAUUCUUUUACUUCUUCUAUAAAGUAUUGACUCUUGGAAUGCCACAGUAUAUGACAGAAGUAACAAAGAAGCAAGUGGCUGCAUUGUGAAAAAUCGCGAAUCAAUUUUUGUAGAUUAUUUUGUGCCCCAGGAGUUAACUUUAUUAACUCCUGAACCUCAGUUAAACAAGUAUGACUUCUUAUAAUCAUAAAAUCAAAUGGGAUCAGACUAGUUCUGCAUUUUAAUACUUGAAUAUGACACCUCAAAUUUGCAUUUUCUUUUGGAACAGUCACGAGAUUCACCUUGUUAAUCCUUUUGUCACAGUUCUCCUGUGCAUGUGUGCAUACGUGUGUGUGUGUGUGUGUGUGUGUGUGUAAGUGUAAACUGAAUGGUAACAUUUAAUUGCUUUAUGGAUUGGGCAUAAAAGUUUUUUCAGUCGGCACAAACAGUUCCUGAACUGUCAAAUUAACCGACUUUGACCAGGAAAAGACUUGUAAAUGACUUCAGGCUAACUCCCCAGGGGACCAUAUUAAAUGAAAAAAAAAAAAAGCUCCUUUGGGUGACAUACCCUGCAAAGUAUGUGCUCUUGUCAUGAACAUAGAUGCCCAUAUUCUUAAUAUCUGCUAUUUUUGGACAAGUGAUGUUUUGUGCUGUCAUCUGAACCCUAGAGAAGCAGUAUAAGAAGAAAUUUUGGUGUCACAUGUACUUUAGCAAAAAGGUCAUCAUGGUAGAGGGUCAUGUGACCAAAAGCAGCUCCAGAAAAGCUUGAGAACUUGCUUCACGGUUGGGGGAGGGUCGGAGAUACAGAAAACAUUCUGCUCUAUAGGAAUUUUCUUCAUUUAUGCAGGAAAUUCCAUUUUCUCUUUCAACACCUGGGAAGACUCAGCCGGGGAGGCUGACAGGCAAUUCAUAAGCACAAGGGGAAUCUUUUCCAACCAAGUCGUCCCUGCCUCGCAAACAAAAGCCCUCCAAGUUUGUUAUGGCUUCUAUUCCUGCAUCUUGUGGUAUCAAAACCACUUCCUGGAAUUGUAAAAGCGCUGCCAGAAUAAAUGUUUUUCCCUCUUCCAAGAAAAAAACGACAGUGCUCAUAUUUGACACUUGUGCACUGGACUCUUUUGAAUGAAUAAAAUGGAAAGGGUUUGGUGUCAUUCCUGAUGGGGUGUGUGUUCUUUUUCAUGCCACAGUUUGUGAAUUGUAAUUGUGGUUUCCUAUUUAAUUGUCAUAACCAGGCAGAAAUUAAAAAAAAAAAAAAAAGUUUAAUAAAAACACAGAGAAAUGGUUAAGCAGUUAUAUUUCCAGAGUUGAGUUAUUUCUGUCUGUUUUUGUUUCAGUUUUAUCAGUUAGGAACUCACUAUAUUCCAUUUUUAGUUCUGAAGGCACUUUUGAGCCACAGGAGGUGGAUGGCAGCAGCUCUGGUUGUGGACUGAGCUCCCAGGAAGGAAACGAAUGAAUCUGUUUCAUACUCUGCCUCCGCCUUCAGGCUGGAGGGUCAGGUCUUGAAUAUCGGCCGUUUCUUAAAUCAGAACC